CCUACGGGGGGCAGCAGUGAGGAAUAUUGGUCAAUGGGCGUAAGCCUGAACCAGCCAAGUCGCGGGAGGGAUGGAGGUUCUAUGGAUCGUAAACCUCUUUUAUAAGGGAAUAAAGUGUGGGACGGGUCCUGUUUUGUAUGUACCUUAUGAAUAAGGAUCGGCUAACUCCGUGCCAGCAGCCGCGGUAAUACGGAGGAUCCGAGCGUUAUCCGGAUUUAUUGGGUUUAAAGGGUGCGUAGGCGGCCUUUUAAGUCAGCGGUGAAAGUCUGUGGCUCAACCAUAGAAUUGCCGUUGAAACUGGGAGGCUUGAGUAUGUUUGAGGCAGGCGGAAUGCGUGGUGUAGCGGUGAAAUGCUUAGAUAUCACGCAGAACCCCGAUUGCGAAGGCAGCCUGCCAAGCCAUGACUGACGCUGAUGCACGAAAGCGUGGGGAUCAAACAGGAUUAGAUACCCCAGUAGUC
rnacentral:rRNA from 1 species